rnacentral:rRNA from 1 species
AUUGAACGCUGGCGGCAGGCCUAACACAUGCAAGUCGAGCGGAUGAAGGGAGCUUGCUCCUGGAUUCAGCGGCGGACGGGUGAGUAAUGCCUAGGAAUCUGCCUGGUAGUGGGGGAUAACGUCCGGAAACGGGCGCUAAUACCGCAUACGUCCUGAGGGAGAAAGUGGGGGAUCUUCGGACCUCACGCUAUCAGAUGAGCCUAGGUCGGAUUAGCUAGUUGGUGGGGUAAAGGCCUACCAAGGCGACGAUCCGUAACUGGUCUGAGAGGAUGAUCAGUCACACUGGAACUGAGACACGGUCCAGACUCCUACGGGAGGCAGCAGUGGGAAAUAUUGGACAAUGGGCGAAAGCCUGAUCCAGCCAUGCCGCGUGUGUGAAGAAGGUCUUCGGAUUGUAAAGCACUUUAAGUUGGGAGGAAGGGCAGUAAGUUAAUACCUUGCUGUUUUGACGUUACCAACAGAAUAAGCACCGGCUAACUUCGU